CCUACGGGAGGCAGCAGUGAGGAAUAUUGGUCAAUGGGCGGGAGCCUGAACCAGCCAAGCCGCGUGAAGGAAGAAGGCGCCAAGCGUCGUAAACUUCUUUUGUCGGGGAACAAAGGGCGCCACGUGUGGCGUUGUGAGUGUACCCGAAGAAAAAGCAUCGGCUAACACCGUGCCAGCAGCCGCGGUAAUACGUAGGAUGCGAGCGUUAUCCGGAUUUAUGGGGGUUAAAGGGUGCGUAGGCGGUCCGGAAAGUCAGCGGUAAAAGCCCGGGGCUCAACCCCGGCGAGCCGUUGAAACUGUCGGACUAGAGACGGCGAGAAGUACGCGGAAUGCGCGGUGUAGCGGUGAAAUGCAUAGAUAUCGCGCAGAACUCCGAUUGCGAAGGCAGCGUACCGGCGCCGGACUGACGCUGAGGCACGAAAGCGUGGGUAUCGAACAGGAUUAGAUACCCUUGUAGUC
rnacentral:rRNA from 1 species